UCCGAGGUAGCUCAAUUGGCAGAGCAGUGGACUGUUAAUCCAUUGGUUGUGGGUUCGAGUCCCACCCUCGGAGCAA
rnacentral:tRNA from 1 species